UACGUAGGGUGCGAGCGUUGUCCGGAAUUACUGGGCGUAAAGAGCUCGUAGGUGGUUUGUCGCGUUGUCCGUGAAAACUCACAACUCAAUUGUGGGCGUGCGGGCGAUACGGGCAGACUGGAGUACUGCAGGGGAGACUGGAAUUCCUGGUGUAGCGGUGAAAUGCGCAGAUAUCAGGAGGAACACCGGUGGCGAAGGCGGGUCUCUGGGCCGGUACUGACGCUGAGACGCGAAAGCGUGGGGAGCGAACAGG
rnacentral:rRNA from 1 species